UUGUAUCACUGUUGUAGUAAACUAGAAAAGUGGACCAUAGACCUCUGAGUUGUUCUUAACCUGACGAUGAGUAGACAUGGAGUUUACAUGAUACCCUGCAACCUGCGCUCCUGAUAUGUUCCUAUAUACAGCGGAGAUCAAAAUGUUUGACAACUACAUUGUUGUAUAUAAAUUUAUUCAAGACCUCCCCUUCUUUGUGACUGGAGGUGAUGAUGAAAACGAACUCAUUUUAGCUUCUGUUCUUCAAGGUUUCUUUGAUUCAGUUUCUCUUCUCUUGAGAGUACUGUUGACAAGAGGGAGGCAAUUGAGAACUUGGAUCUCAUCUCCUUAUGCCUUGAUGAGAUCGUUGAAAAAGGGGCUGUUGUCUGGAAGAAUGAUAGAGUUUUGAGUUUGUUUCUCUCAUUUUGCAACAUUGCUUGCAAGUUGAUGCAAGCUGGUAUCGAAAUGUUGUGCAUUAUGGAUAAUAAACAACACCUCUGUUUGCCAUGCUUCUGCUCACUGAUGGAAAGGUGGCAGUAAAUGGCAUGGAUCCUAGUGCACCUUUGUCUGAACAGACAAUAAGCCAAGCACUGGGUGCAGCAUGUGAACACUUGACAAGAACCCCUCUUUCAGUAGGGCUGCCAUGGUCGCACGGAGAAAAUGGCUUGGAUUUCAUUCUCUAGUCAAUUUUUGGCUUUCAGUAUGUUGUCAUGUAGGAGUUCAUCUUCGUCCAAUUUUUCUUUGUUGACCUUAAAAUUAGUGAGGAUAAUACCAUUUCAUUUG